UACGUAGGGCGCAAGCGUUGUCCGGAAUUAUUGGGCGUAAAGAGCUCGUAGGCGGCCUGUUGCGUCCGCUGUGAAAUCCCGGGGCUCAACCCCGGGCGUGCAGUGGAUACGGGCUGGCUGGAGGCAGGCAGGGGAGAACGGAAUUCCUGGUGUAGCGGUGAAAUGCGCAGAUAUCAGGAAGAACACCCGUGGCUAAGGCGGCUCUCUAGUACGGUACUGACGCUGAGACGCGAAAGCGUGGGGAGCGAACAGG
rnacentral:rRNA from 1 species